rnacentral:rRNA from 1 species
UACGGAAGGCAGCAGUGGGGAAUAUUGCACAAUGGGCGCAAGCCUGAUGCAGCCAUGCCGCGUGUAUGAAAAAGGCCUUCGGGUUGUAAAGUACUUUCAGUCGUGAGGAAGGUGUUAAGGUUAAUAACCUUAGCAAUUGACGUUAGCGACAGAAGAAGCACCGGCUAACUCCGUGCCAGCAGCCGCGGUAAUACGGAGGGUGCGAGCGUUAAUCGGAAUUACUGGGCUAAAGGGCACGCAGGCGGUUAAUUAAGUUGGAUGUGAAAUCCCCGGGCUUAACCUGGGAAUGGCAUUCAAGACUGGUUAGCUAGAGUCUUGUAGAGGGGGUAGAAUUCCAUGUGUAGCGGUGAAAUGCGUAGAGAUGUGGAGGAAUACCGGUGGCGAAGGCGGCCCCCUGGACAAAGACUGACGCUCAUGUGCGAAAGCGUGGGGAGCAAACAGGGAUUAGAUACC